UUACCCAGCUAGGGCAUAUUCUGAAUUGAAACGCCAGUGAACGAAAACUCUCUCCCGUGGCCAUAAACCUAAAAGAGAAAAAAAUAUAUGUAGUUAUUUAUUUUAACUGCUUCAGGCUAUCUUGGCACCGAGUCGGUACCCAGAAAGUUCGAGGCCACUAUUAACUUAGUGAUCCCGUCACCUUAGACUAGAAGAGUAAAUCUGUGAGAUGUAUAUCUGUGUGUAAAAACAUUAGCUAUUUAAACAUAUUUUAUUUUAUUUUGGAGGCCUUUUUGGGGAAUCGUAAAAACCCAAUAAACCUAAGGACGUGAACAAUACCAGUACCCUAACUCACGACUCUUAUAGCACUUAGGUUGACGUUUUUUAAUUUUUUGCUGCUCAUAAAAACCUCACGAAAUAUGUUUAAGAAAAAGUUUGAUCAUUUAUUUACACAGAUUUUUGAAUUUUACAGCAGAAGACUGCAAAACGAGAUGGAGAACCAUUCGCGACUCCUACAGAAAAAGCAACAAGAAACUGAAAACUGGGUCGAAGACAGGUUCACCGGCAUUUUCAAAAUCGAAAUACAACACAGAAAGCCUGAAAUUCCUUGAUGAAACCUACAAAGAAAGAGCAUCAAAAUCAAGCAUCAACAUAAAUGAAAUAAUUGAAAAUAAUCAAGAAACACAAGAAAUGGUGGAUGACUGUCCCUCUGAAGAGUGCAACCAAUUUCAAGAAGAAGAAAGCGCUCAAGAAUCUACAAAUUGGCCUAGCGAGCAAACAAGUUCUUCAGAAUUGUUAAACAGCUCCAUUAAAAAAAGAAAAAUUACAGUAAAAGAAAAAA